UACAGAGGUCCCAAGCGUUACUGAGAAUCACUGGGUUUAAAGGGUGCGUAGGUGGUCCGUUAAGUCAGUUGUGAAAUCCCCGGGCUCAACCCGGGAACUGCUUCUGAUACUGGCGGACUUGAGGCCAGUAGGGGUCACUAGAACUGACGGUGGAGCGGUGAAAUGCGUAGAUAUCGUCAGGAAUGCCGGUGGUGAAGACGGGUGACUGGGCUGGUUCUGACACUGAGGCACGAAAGCUGGGGGAGCAAACAGG
rnacentral:rRNA from 1 species